UGAUAUUCAUACUGUAAAUUGCCUGAUAAACAUAUGUUGUUUCAGAGCCUAUGAACGGAUCGCUACUGGAUACAGUCUAGAAAAUUCACUGAAGAAAGAGUUCAAUCCAAAUGUAUAAAGAACAGUUUACCUGCUUAACAACACAUCAGAGGAAGAUUUGAUUCAUGAACAUUUGCAAACUCGUAGCUGCAAUGGGGAAGGGUUCUUCUCAGCAAAACAUGAGUCUAAAAGCUGUGUUUAUUAUCGAUGUGAGAGAUCAAACAAAGCAAAAGGAAAAUCACAUGGGGACCCAUGCAAAACAAGAACUAAUGGUUGCAAAGCCUAUGUUAGUUUUACAUUCAUUCAUGAAACAUCUUUCAAUGGAUGUGUGGUGCGACUUCAAACUGUUCAUAAUGGUCAUGCUCUAAAAGAUCCUAGUCAGCAAAAAGUGAUUCAAAUUCAUCCUGAACUAUUCACGGUGAUUGAAGCAUAUUUGGCACAAGAUCUCAACUGAUAUACUGUAGGUGUUAGAGCAGCAGAGUGGGCAAAACAGUGAGGGUUUAAUGAUUUACGGGACCGCUGAUACAGUGUCACACCCCGUGAUGUUAAAGUAAUUAAAGAACAAUACGUAUCCAGACAAUACCUGGGUAUUGAUGAUUCCUCUUGUGUGGAUAAAAUGGUAAAAACAGACCUUAAAAACUGUUAUUUUAUCAGCCACUAGCACAGUGCGUCACAGACUCUCAUACUUGUCUUAUCCACUGAAUGACGCUUCAACAGUUACAGAAGCAUGGAAGUGAUUUUUUUAGAUGCUCAAUCGAAGGAGUCUCUGCAUAUUCAUUUGGAAGUGAUUUUUUAGAUGCUCAUACGAAGGAGUCUCUGCAUAUUCAUUUGGAAGUGAUUUUUUAGAUGCUCAUACGAAGGAGUCUCUGCAUAUUCAUUUGGAAGUGAUUUUUUAGAUGCUCAAUCGAAGGAGUCUCUUCAUAUUCAUUUGGAAGUGAUUUUUUAGAUGCUCAUACGAAGGAGUCUCUGCAUAUUCAUUUGGAAGUGAUUUUUUAGAUGCUCAUACGAAGGAGUCUCUGCAUAUUCAUUUGGAAGUGAUUUUUUAGAUGCUCAUACGAAGGAGUCUCUGCACAUUCAUUUGGAAGUGAUUUUUUAGAUGCUCAUACGAAGGAGUCUCUGCAUAUUCAUUUGGAAGUGAUUUUUUAGAUGCUCAAUCGAAGGAGUCUUCAUAUUCAUUUGGAAGUGAUUUUUUAGAUGCUCAUACGAAGGAGUCUCUGCAUAUUCAUUUGGAAGUGAUUUUUUAGAUGCUCAUACGAAGGAGUCUCUGCACAUUCAUUUGCACUGUAUGCCUUGCUGAUUUCAAGUGAAGCAGGCCGUGGUGUUCCUGUUGCUUUUUUCAUUUUAAGUGAAGAAAAUACAGAAAAUCUGGCAUUGUGUCUCUGCAAAGUGAGAGAUGCCCUAAAUGGUUUCACACCCAGGAUGAAGAAUACUGACUCUGUAUACUGAUUGGCUGGGUGCCAUUGCAGGAUGAAGAAUACUGACUCUAUAUACUGAUUGGCUGGGUGCCAUUGCAGGAUGAAGAAUACUGACUCUAUAUACUGAUUGGCUGGGUGCCACUGCAGGAUGAAGAAUACUGACUCUAUAUACCGAUUGGCUGGGUGUCAUUGCAGGAUGAAGAAUACUGACUCUAUAUACCGAUUGGCUGGGUGUCAUGGCUAUGUUGGAAUCAUGGCCUUAUAUUCCAUCCUUACGUGCUGGAUGUGUGAUGAUCGACAAAGAUCAAAAAGAAGUAAAUGCAGCAAGGGAUGUGUUUCCUGGUGUUCUCCUCCUUUGCUGGUUUCAUGUACUACAGGUACACACAGGAAUGUGUCAUUAGAUGGUUGGUCCGGUGGGAUGGAGGAAACUUAAAUGUCUCAGAUAGAAAUGAAGUGAUCUGAUCUAUGAUUAGAUUAAAACAAUGUAACACUGUAAGUAGUGUGACAGAAAUAUAAUGAGUUUUGAUUGUAAAUCUCCCUCCCGACCUGUGAGGGCGCUAAGCAGCGAAAGUAGAGUUCUUUGGAUGGGCUGGCCUGACAGUUCUUUCCCCGGGCAGGGAAGUCGGUCAGUCUGGAAGGCGAUGAGACUCUGUUGCAGGAGCGUAUUGACCCGGAAGAGAAACGACAUAGCAGCUGCAGAUAGUAGAGACAGCUGCAAUCGUUUACCAAGGGGUCAUGCGUGAUAGCAUAAAAGGGGACAGGGAAUCACAAUCUACUUCUUUGCUUGGUUUGAGAGACAAGGAACUGGAAGGACCGGAAGAAACCUCUAAAAAUAAGAUAAAUAAUUUGUGAGUGUUUUGUUUGUUUUGUCGCUGUUAGUAAUUGCCUUUUUUUUUUUGUAAAUCACUGGAUGGCUAACACGUCUCCGGAGCUGUCGCCUUGGGCCAGCACUACCUGGAGCAACACUCCACCACAGUCACUGUUUAAUUGUUAUCACCCACCACGAGCACUACUGCAUGCACCCGGACUGGUGACCAUGUAUUGUAUUAUUGUGGGGCGGAUAACGUGUCUUUAUUAUUUGGACUACAAUCCAUUUAUUAUUGGUGUGUAUUGCCAGAGGUUUAUUAUUGGUGUGUAUUGCCAGAGGCUUAUUAUUGGUGUGUAUUGCCGGAGGAUUAUUGUUUGGUCGCCA